UUUCUCCAUCUUAUGGCAGCAUAUAUUUUCAACACAGAGUGAGGGCAGUGUCAUUCCUCCUGUCCACUACCCCAACUUCUACUCCCAACACUACCACAACAAUGAGCGGUCUGGUGUGGUGGCUGAGGAUUCUUUUGAAGAGGACAAUGCUUCUGCUUCAUCUGAGCAGCUUGAAGCUGCCUGCAGAAAUAGGCAAAACAGCAACUGACGAAAGAAUAAAGUUGAAGGAAACUGGAGUUUCCCUGCAAAACAAGCUAUCAAGAAGACCUAUACAAUGAGGUUCUGGAAUGUAACUCCCACAGAUGGCAGGGAAACACUGUAUAUCUUCCCUCCCACAACAGCGAUGCACUUAAUGAAUUGGGCCAAGAUAAUUAGUGAAAGCUUUCUGUGUUAAAGAGAUGCAGCUAGUGGGCCAAUAUAUAUACUGAUCGUUCAAUUAAUCCUUUAUGUCAUAAAACUUCUCUGAAAAAAUCUAGUGAAUAAUUUUUCCUCUCUCACUGCACUGUCCUUGAUCUAAAUUACAUAUUAAAACUACACAUGAUAGUGUAAUGAUCAGUAUGCUUGGCUCACAAACCAUAUAUAUAUAUAUAUAUAUAUAUAUAUAUAUAUAUAUAUAUAUAUAUAUAUAUAUAUAUAUAUAUAUAUAUAUAUAUAUAUAUAUAUAUAUAUAUAUAUAUAUAUAUAUAUAUAUAUAUAUAUAUAUAUAUAUAUGCUUGGCUUUGUCUCCAAACUCUCCCCCAUAGAGAGACUGUAUUAACCUGCAGAAAUAAAGCUAUCAUUCAGGGAAACUGGUUUGUUUGCCAAACAAACAUUACAUUGCUGAAUAUUCUGUGGCACCAAAUGCUUUGUCAGGAAUUGUGGCAAUGAUAUUUCAAUCCUUGUCUUUGCAUCCUACAAUUUGUAUGCUGAACAUAAACCUUAUCAACAAG